rnacentral:lncRNA from 1 species
CACAUGUGCUCAAAAACUAGGUCACUAUGUCAAAUAAUAGAAAUAACGAUGUCAUACUCAGUUGAACACUGGGUCAUGUGGAGAUAGGUGAGCGAUUCAGGACCAUCAUGGUCCUCUUGUUAAUUUCUGGUCAUAGAUUUUUAGAAUAUAACAUAUAGUAUCCUUGUAUGUGUGGACAGUUAAUUUGAUCAUAAAAGACAGACCUCUUGGCAGGCUUAUCAAUACUAGGUAGAGAACAAGACUGAAUGGAGAGGCUAAGAGUUUUGUCCUUUUGGUGAGACAAAUGUUCUCUGUGACGAUUUGACAGAGGCUGUAUAUCAGAAGUCAUAUACCGUCAACAUCGGUAUCAUGUAGGGAAGUUGUCACUUACUUGUGGAAAACAAGCAAGUAAUGAUAAGGAAUCAGAAAAAAUACCUAGGUUUGCAGACUACUCCUAUAUUACUGAUGUCAGAAAUGAAAACUGGCAUAAAACCCAUAUUUAGGUUAUUCUGCAUGUUUUAUUAAUUGGAAGUGUGUCAUUUAUCGGAAAAAAAGCUAUAGUAGUACCUGGUAACUUUAAAUGGGUUGCAUAAAUGUAGUUGGGAAUCUAUAAUAAGAAUUAAACAGUCAACACUAUUGUCUUUUUCUAAGGCUUAUUUUGGGUAGGUUUUCAUGUCAAAUAUUUCAAAUUAUCACAUAAAAUAAGCAGCAUUGCAAGGACUCCAGUUGAUGUUGUGAAAAAUUAAACACACAUAACAAUAUAUCUUAGUUUUAUUAAAAUCGACAUUGUGGAACUUCUUCUAUAUACGAAAAUGUGACUUUCCCAUGGAAGCCCACUGUGAAAAUUGACUAGAAAUCCAAUAUUUUGAAACCAGUCUAACAAAAAAUCAAGCAGUCAUGACCUUAUUUUUUAUUUGCUUAUUUAAUUAUAUCCUUUGGAUUCAGUUAUGCUUUGAAAAAGAUUCUUUUGUUUAAUAAAAUUCUCUGUUUUAAAACUGGUAUUUAUUCAAAAUGUGCAGAACUACUAAAGGGCAAAAAUAAAUAUUAAAAAGUCUAGGCAGAAUUUGUAUUAGGCUGAAACUCUAAUGAUAUCCCUAGUUCUGUUUUUUUUUUGUCUAUUCAUUUCUGUACUUAAUUUCCAUGUAGAAUUUCACUUUUAUUGAAUAUAAUUUUAGUUACUAACUGUAGGUAAAGAUAUUCACAAAAAACUGUUAAACCUGAUUACUUUUUUGUGUAAGAAAAAUGUUGUUUUUGUUUGUAUAGAAUUUAAAUAUUUAGAAUGUGCAUGUAUGCCAGUAUUUUAAUAGCCAUAUAUCUUUUGCAAUUUGAACUCAGUAUGACAAAGAUACCUUAUAGAUACUGCAACAGUAAUAAUAUAAAAGAUACUACUGGUAUAUGAAAGACCUAGAUUCAAGGUUAUGAAACUAGCUCUUGAGGCUUGUCUGAGAAUUCAACAGGUGUCAUUGGUCAAUUUUGAAGCGAGACAUGUCUCCUGACACGGCUUUAUAACCCUGACCUUGGGAUGUAAACACAUACUUGAUUAUUUGAAUGAUUCAUAUUUAAUAGAACAAGUUUUAAGACUUUCAUAGUAAUCUUCUACAUUCCUACUUAUUUUUUGGUGGAAUGUCUGUAUUUACUAUUGCACUUGAUUAGACAAACAAUUAAUCAUUAAUGUGUGUCUUAAGAAGUUAUAUCUAGUAAGAAAUAUAAGAUGUUCUUGACAAUUUGUCUGUUAUGCUAAAAAAAAUUGAGGCAGGCAUUUCGUGAACAUUGUUUUUGAAAAUAUUUUUCUCUCUUUGUGGAAGAAGUAUGGUGUAAAUAGUAAUUGCUAAAUAGUUGUGAUGUUAUAAGAAGAAUGGAGAGUGUAAAUUGUAUGGUUGGUUGAAGCGAUGUUUUCAGCUUGUACAGACUGAGUGUCGGUCAACAUUGAUAUAUUAACCAGAAGACUGACCAUGUUUUGUCAUUAUAGGAGGACACCAGCGUAAAAUCAUCAAAAUCUCGACAUGGACGGAGUGUGUCACCAGAAAAAGACAAAGAAAGGGAAAGAAAGGAAAAGAAGAGGGACCACCACAGUGACCAUGAUGCGGCACCUUCUUCAAGCAAGAAACGACGAAGCUU